rnacentral:rRNA from 1 species
UGGGGAGUACGGCCGCAAGGCUAAAACUCAAAGGAAUUGACGGGGGCCCGCACAAGCGGCGGAGCAUGCGGAUUAAUUCGAUGCAACGCGAAGAACCUUACCAAGGCUUGACAUGAACCGGAAACGCCUGGAAACAGGUGCCCCACUUGUGGUCGGUUUACAGGUGGUGCAUGGUUGUCGUCAGCUCGUGUCGUGAGAUGUUGGGUUAAGUCCCGCAACGAGCGCAACCCUCGUUCUAUGUUGCCAGCACGUGAUGGUGGGGACUCAUAGGAGACUGCCGGGGUCAACUCGGAGGAAGGUGGGGACGACGUCAAAUCAUCAUGCCCCUUAUGUCUUGGGCUUCACGCAUGCUACAAUGGCCGGUACAAAGGGUUGCGAUACUGUGAGGUGGAGCUAAUCCCAAAAAGCCGGUCUCAGUUCGGAUUGGGGUCUGCAACUCGACCCCAUGAAGUCGGAGUCGCUAGUAAUCGCAGAUCAGCAACGCUGCGGUGAAUACGUUCCCGGGCCUUGUACACACCGCCCGUCAAGUCACGAAAGUUGGUAACACCCGAAGCCGGUGGCCUAACCCUUUUGGGGGGGAGCCGUCGAAGGUGGGACUGGCGAUUG